UCCGGUUUAACACCGGCAGUCUCGCUAGAGUCCCCGGCUUGACCCGCUGGCAACUAGCGACAAGGGUUUCGCUCGUUAAGCGACUUAACGCGACAUCUCACGACACGAGCUGACGACAGCCAUGCAGCACCUGUGCAAGUUAUGGGUUUCCCCACUCGCCGGCUUUCACCGACUUAGAAAUGCAUGUCAAGACUAGGAUAAGGUUCUUCGCGUAGCCUCGAAUUGAGCCACAUCCUCCACCGCUUGUGCAGGCCCCCGUCAAUUUCUUUGAGUUUUAAUCUUGCGACCGUACUUCCCAGGCGGCUUGCUUAACGCGUUAGCUGCGGCACGGAGGGAGUCGACACCCCCCACACCUAGCACCCAUCGUUUACGGCGUGGACUAC
rnacentral:misc_RNA from 1 species